rnacentral:rRNA from 1 species
GUCGGUUGCUCCAGAAGUGCCUGCGCCAACCCGCAAGGGAGGUAGGGCCCCAAGGAGUGGCUGGUAACUGGGGUGAAGUCGUAACAAGGUAGCCGUAGGUGAACCUGCAGAAGGAUCA